UAGGAGCACUUGUCCUAUCAAGUUGUUUUGAAUGAUCGAAACUUCAAAUUGAUAAUCGGCACCGUUCAAAUUGAUCUACAUAAUUAGAAAUGUUUAGAAACCAAAUUUUAUAAUAUUUAAAAAUUAUUAUCAAGUUCAUCUUAAGAGUUAAAAAAUGAACGGUAAUAAAUGAAUAAUCUUCUUAAAAUAGAGAUUAGACUUUCUCAAUUCAUAAUCAGAGUUAUCAAACAUUAUCUAAAUAAUAUAAAGAAUUUUCUAUCAAAAAUUUAAGCAAUUUGGAUUGCUCUACACCGUUAAACAAGCAAACGGCUCAUAUAGGCCGUCAAAAAUUGUCGAUUUUACGACACUUUGAUCACCAUGUAAAUAAUUUUUAAAAUUUAUGAAAUUUAGUUUCUAGAUAUUUCAAAUACUCUAGAUCAACUUCAACAGCUCCGAUCAUCAAUUCGGAAUCUCUAUCAUCAAGAACCAUUUGAUAAGACAAGUGCUACUAUCCUAUUAAUAGGAUAGUAGCUCUAGCCUAUAUAUAUAUAUAUAUAUAUAUAUAUAUUAAUAUAUAUAUAUUAAACCAAUCCUAUUAAUUUAUUAAAUUAUAUUUGUACAGGACCUCCCCCGAUUUUAUGGAGUUGGGGGCCCAUAAUAUUUUUUUUAAUAUUACUCCCUAUCACCCUAAAACACACACACACUCUCUCUCUCUACGUCGUGGCCCCCCCCAUCCCGCAUUGCUCUUUUAUCCCUCUCUCUCCCCCUACUCUCCCUCUCCAUCCACAGCUCUCUCUCUUCUUCUCUCUCUCCUAUCUCUCUCUGCUCUCCUCUCUCUCCUCCUUCUCCUCUCUCUUCUCCGGCUCUCUUCUUUCCCCCCCUCCCUCUCUCCAUCCACGAGCAAUCACCGGCACCCGCGGUGCAGGUGCGACGACCCGCCGGCGGGUGCGGACUGGUCCUCCCCCCCCCCUCCUCUUUCCUUUUUCCUUUCCCCCCCUCCCCGCCUCCCGCUUUCCCCUCUCUCUCGCACCCAACUCCCUUCCUCCCCUCUCUCUUCCUCUCCCUCCCCCGCUCUCUCUCUCUCUCUCCCCCUCCUCCAUUCUUACUGCGACGGCUGCCGAGCGAGAGCGGCGGCGGGGGCGCGCGGUGCGUCCGCGCACUGGGCGCAGGCGACGCUCGCUGGGCCGAGCCGUGGCGAGAGGGUCGCGAGGGAGGCGGGGCGGGGCGCGGCGGCGCUGGGUGCGCCGCAUGAAGUUUCUUCUCUCUCUCUCGCCCCCCCUCUCUCUCUCUCUCUGCUUUCUGCUCGUCUCUCAUCUCUCUCUCUCUAUAUAUAUAUAUAAUAUAUAUAAUCUUUUAUUUAAUUAUAUAAUCGAUCCAAGGAAUUCGAAAGGGAUUCGAACCCGUCUUUUUUUUUUUCUGUGGGUUGUGGGCAUAACAACCAAUUAUAACAAAGAAGUAUUUAUUAUUUAUUUAUAAAAUAUAUAUUGAUUAACUUAUAAUAUUUAUUUAUAAUAUAGAAUAUAUUAUUAAUAUAAUAUUUAUUAUAUAACUACGAUUUCAUUUUUAUAAUUUUUAUUUAAUUCAUAGUACUUAUAAUAUAUAUAUAAUUUUAUUUCUAAAUAUAUAUUUAGUUAAUAUAUAUAGUAUUAUAUUUUUAUAAUAUGGAUAUAUUAUUAUAUAAUAAUUUAUUAUAUAAUAUACUACUUUAUAGAGGAUUUUAAAUUUCUGAAUAAUAUUGUAAAAUGUGCACUCCUAAUAGAGUGUGCCAAUAGUAUUAUUCAAAAAUUAUAAUAGUGGAAACUGAAAAAAUUCAUGUUAGAAACGAAAGGUGCAGCUUUAUUCAAAAUAAAAAUAAUUUUUCUUAAAAUAUGCUAUAUCAGUUUGUGCUAGUGUUAAAUCCUACUUCCAAACCAAAUCAAAACCAAAUAAAAUAAAUUUGUUCAAUCUAUAUGCUACCUACGAAAUCGAAUUUAUUGUCGUUUGGUCCUCAGUUUGCAUCCAAACUUGAACACACCAACUUUUUUCCCCUUUUCCCCCUCUUUUUUAAUUCUUUUUGUUUUGUUCAGAAUAAUCUUAGAUCACAUUCAAAAAAUAAAAAAUUUAAUUUAAAAUUUAAAAUUUAAUUUUAAAUUAAAAAUUAAAUUUUAAAGCGAAUAUCCUUUGAUAUUACUGACUUUACAAUUUAUGUGCUAUUUACUAUAUAAUUUAAAAUUUUUAAAAAUUUACAUAGAUUUCCCGCUGCGUAGCGCGGGCCUUUACUAGUAUCAUUAAAGGGUGAACCCUUAACCCUUUUGCUGCGUUCUCCGUGAUUUCGGGUCUCUCCCUUAACCCCUUUCCUGCGUUCUCCGCGAUUUCGGACCUCCCGCACACAGUGCUCUCUGAGAUGUGGGGCCCUACUCUCUCUUACUCUCUCUCAUUUUCUCUCUCUGAGAUGUGGGGCCCUAUUCUUCUCCACACGCUAUGGUCUCCUACGAUGCCACUCUCCCUUACCCUCUCUCCUUCUCAACGAACCCUAACCCUCUCUCCCUUUCUUUUCUCGCCACCUCUGCAGAUUUCUCGGGAUUCCUCUGCCCCUCUCAACAAACCCUAGGUUUGCCUAGGGUUGGUACUCCGGCGCCGCUGUAAGGACUGAGAUUUUUACAGUGCAAAUAAACUCUCUGUUGAUGAUGUUUAUGUGUGUAAUUUAAUUACAUAAGCACUCGUCAAGUUUCAAGAGAAAAUGAGUUAGAACGGAGAAGUUACACGAUUUUUAAAUUUCACUUAAGUGAAUAGUAACUCCGGUUUUUCGAAGAGGCCAAUGCGUGAAGUAGGCUUCUGGCGCGUAUCGGACUCCGUUCAUAGCGAUCCAAUAGCUCGUUUCGAACGGUUCAGCUAUUCUGGAACCAAUGGCACUGACGGAUUUCAGAUCCGAUGCACGAUUUUCGAGAAAAAUGAGUUUUAACAAAAAGAGGGUUUCCGCUCUUUGCUAUUCGUGCAUUUUAAAACUCCUCGUGCUUUGUAUAAGUGAUUUAGAGAUGGGUGAGAGAUGUUUCAAGUACCUACUGGUGGUAGGGAAUUCAAAUACGAGUUUGAAUUAAUGGAUUUCGGGUUUCCACCAAGGCCUAUGUGUGAUAUAUGGAUUAGUUGGAGAGAGGUCGGAUUUUGUCGCAAAUCGGCAAGCAAAUCGGAUGAAACGAAAUCGUAGUUUCGAUGCCCCCGUCGUGCUGAACGCGAUGGCACUGUCGGAUCGAAAAUCCGACGGACGGAUUUUCGGGAAACGCGAAAUGUUCACUGAGGGGUCGAAGGUGGCAAAUCGGAAACUUCGCAAAAGUCAUUGUAUUUUAUGUACCGAAUCGCUUGAGAUCGAGCGUGGUGGUGCGUAUGCGCAAGUUACGCGCAAUGGCAGGGACUAAAUUAUAAAAAUAGGGCUGAGGUGGGUUUUUCUGUAAUUGUACAUAUAUCAUAGAGUUAGGUCACCAUGAAACCCUAACCCUGGGUCCCCUCCUCUUCCUUAACCGCCUCCCUCACGUUCCCCUGCUCUCCCUGCGCGCGCCCCGGCCACCUGAGCACGCCGCCGGCCGCCGGAGCUGGCCGCUCUUCCACCUCCUCCAUCACCUUCCACACUUUUCUUUCCACCCUCCUCAGCCACCGAGCUCGGGAAGGCACCUAAACCUAUGAAACCAUCUUCCCUUGGCCGAGAUCCAUCUCCGGUGUCGUUCCCGCCGGUCGCCGCCGCCCCCGAGGUCGCCGGCCGCCGCUUCUGCUCUCUGCGCCCGCCCAGACCCGGAGCGGGCCGAGCUUGAGGCCGCAGCGCCUCCGCGCGUCGCCGCCGUCCACCAUCGGGCGCGCCACCUUCCCCUCGACCUCCGGCGCCGUCGCCGCCGUUCCCCGCCGUCCAUGUUGGCUAUGGUGCCGCCUGGACUCGCCGCAGCCGCCCAGACCCGGAGCGGGCCGAGCUUGGGAGAUCUCUGCCUCCGCGCGCCUCCGCCCCUCCCUGCCGGCAGUGCCGCCCUCCAGACACCUCCGGAGACCUCCGGCGUGUACCCCCGGACGUCCCCGACCUGCCCCGGCCGCCGCCGUGGCCGCAGCACCCCUCGGACCCGUGCCCUAGCUCGUGCGGGCAUGCCUUGUUCCGCCGCCGCCUCCGCCGCUUCCAGCCGCCACCCGAGGUGAGCUUGGUACUCCUCACCUCCCCCGCAACCUUCCCUGGCCCGCGCGCAAAAAGAGUAAAAAUGACAAAUUACCUCAUUAAUUAAUUAGAGUUAAGUAUUUAAUCUAUGGUUAACUAAAAUUUUCUAAUGGAUCAUAACAGUAGGAAGAUAUUUGAAAAUAUUAGAACUUACAGGAAUAAUAUAUAAAAAUUAAAGUUUGUAGAAAAAUAUUUGUAAUUUACUAUAUUUGUAGGGACCUAUAUGCAAUUAAUCCAAAAAAAUAAAUAAAGAUGAAUGUCACCGUACAUAUUUAGCUAUUUUGGUCAAGGGGGUCUCUUAUCCUGCCCACUUCCUCAAGCAAUUUGGAUUAAUUUGUACUUUUAACAUAUAAAUAAUAUAUAUUAAUAUAAAGAGUGAGGCUACUAUACUUCUGGAAGCACGAAGCCUUCCGUGCUUCCAGCUCGUUUUAGAUGUUUCGACUUUUGAAUCGUCGAUCAGCUCCGUUAAACUUGAUCUAGAGUAUUUGAAGUACUUGAAAAAUAAAUUUUAUUAUUUUUCGAUAUCAUUUGCCUAAUGACUCACUCUUUAUAUUAAUAUAUAUUAUUUAUAUGUUAAAAGUACAAAUUAAUCCAAAUUGCUUGAGGAAGUGGGCAGGAUAAGAGACCCCCUUGACCAAAAUAGCUAAAUAUGUACGGUGACAUUCAUCUUUAUUUAUUUUUUUGGAUUAAUUGCAUAUAGGUCCCUACAAAUAUAGUAAAUUACAAAUAUUUUUCUACAAACUUUAAUUUUUAUAUAUUAUUCCUGUAAGUUCUAAUAUUUUCAAAUAUCUUCCUACUGUUAUGAUCCAUUAGAAAAUUUUAGUUAACCAUAGAUUAAAUACUUAACUCUAAUUAAUUAAUGAGGUAAUUUGUCAUUUUUACUCUUCUUAUAUUAUACUUUCUUCUCUCAAUCAAAACCCUAGCAAUGAAAAUUCUUCUUCUUUCUCUUCCUCUCUCUACUUCAUGGUAAUUUCGAACUUAUAACUAGAAUUUCUCAAUCUCCAUUCAUCCAAGAUGCGUGGUGCUUUGCCCAUAUCAAAUGCGUGUUGCUUUCCCCAUUUAAUUUUCUCUAUAAUCUUUUUCUCAAAAAAAGAUUUAGAAAAAAAAGAGUGAGAAAAAAGUUGCAAUAAUAGUGAAAUGGGUUGGAUUUUAAAAAGAAAGAAGAUGAGGAAGAAGAUGACCAUUGAAAAUUUUUUGAGGGGACAUUUCUGUACGAUUAUAGCUAUUGUGGCUUUUGAAGGAAUAAAUUUAUGAUGGCAAAAUUAAUAUUUCACUUAUCUGCUAUUAAAAUAUAAACAGUUCUCUAACGAUAACAAACCAUAGUGUCAUAUUUAAAAAUAUUAAAACUUUUGUAGAAACAACGUAUAAAAGUUGAACUUUAUAAGACAUUAUUUACAAUUCACUAUAAUUGUAGGGACCUAUAUCCAAUUAACCCUAUUUUCUUUAUUGAAACUCCUUUAAUAUUGGAAUAAUAUCUAAUAUAGCCUUCAAAAUUUUUAAAAUAUCUAAUAUGCCCCUCAUUGACCAAAAUUCCCCAAUUAAUUUUCAGAAGUUCCUUCAAAUGCCCCAAAAUCCUAGGUUUACUAAUAGUGUAUUGGGUUUAGAAGGGUAUUUUGAAAAUAGAAGAGUAAAUUUAAAAAUUAGUCUGUAAGCAAAAGCCGUUUUCUUACUAAUUAAUUAAGCUAAAUUUUUUGUUAAAUUUUAUGGCUCAAUUAACUAUUUGUUGUUAACUAAUCCAAUUGUAUUCUCCAGAAAGUAUUUUAAACUACUAAAUUUUGACAGAAUUGUUGAUUAAUUUGGUAAAAUUUUCAAGUAUAUUUGGCUAAAGUCACUUGAUUCUAACAAAUUGAAAGUUGAUUGGGUCCUAGUUAGAAAGUAAAAUAAUCGAGGUGCCCAUUUCAAAAUGGACUAUACUUGACGGGGUCUCCAUCCAUUUUUACCUUUUCAUUUACUAAAAUACUGCAUUUACACUCCAUAUAGUUGGGCCCUUGCCUUGUCAAAAUUUUCUUUUUUUUUUUUAGCGUUAAUUUCAUACAGGUCACGUCCCUGCAAAUUAGUGAAUUGCAGAUAUAUUCUUGCAAAGUUCAACUUUCAUAAGUUAUCCUUGCAAAAAUUCUAAUGUAUUCAGAUAUGUCCCUCUGGUUAGCAUCCAUUAGAGAAUUGUUUAUUUUUUAAUAGUAGGUUUAUAAAAUAAUAUUUUUGCCCUCGUAAAUAUGCUCCUCAAAAAACCCUCUCAAUUUUUGCUAUUUUCCUCUUUCUCUUCCUUCUUGGGCUGCGGGAGGAGCGGGCGGCGGCGGCGGCAGCAGCGGCGACGACGUUGCAGAGCUUAUCAGUGUUGCGGCCAACGAGGACGAGGCUGAGGCCCACAGCGGCGAGGCAGAAGGCAAAGAUGCGGCUGAUUCGGAAGCGCUCGUGACAACGGCCCACGCGAGCACGACGUUUGGAUCAUCAAUGACGACGACGACGACGAAAAAGGAGGAGGAGAAAAAAGGGAGGAUGUGAAGAAGAAGAGGAAGAAGAAGAAGCAGAAGAGGAAGAGGAAGAGGAAGAGAAAGAGAAAGAGGAAGAAGAAGAAGAUGAAGAGGAAGAAGAAGAGGAAGGGGAAGAAUAAGAAGGGUAAAUUAUUAAUUCAUCUUAUUAAUUAAUUAUGGUUAAGUAUUUUAACUGUAGUUAACUAAAUUUCUCUAACGGAUACUAACGGCGGGACAUAUCUGAAUACAUUAGGACUUUUGUAGGGACAACUUAUAAAAGUUGAACUUUGUAGAGAUAUAUCUGCAAUUCAUCAUGUUUGCGGGGACCUGUAUGAAAUUAACCCUUUUUUUAAUACUAAAGGCACAUAGAAUUUUUAAAUCCUGUAAUGUGGGGUGUAAAUCAUUCAGAAUUUUAAAAAUUUUUUAAAUCUUUGGAUGGAAAGUGUAAAUCAUAAAACCUCUUUGGGGUGUACAAAUAGCACUUCCCAUUUAUUUAUAUUGAAAGUGCAAAUUUGUCCUAGUUACCAAUGUUUUAAAAAAUCGGGUCGAACAACAAUCCGAAAAGUAUUACUAGGUCAGGAUUCACUGGUUCAGCUGGUGAUUGAACCAUUGGUUGAACUAGCUAGUGACGCCAGCAUGGCGUUAUAAAUAUUUAAUUAUUUUUAAAUUUUUAUUGUGUGUGUAUAUCUAUAUAUGUGUUAUAUAUAUAUAUAAUUCUAGUAUCAUAUUUAAUUAUAAAAUACUAUUUUUUAGAUCAAACUAAGUAGAUACAAGUUUCAGGUUUUAUUUUUCAUAAUCGAAAAUAAAAUCAGGAAAAAUUAAUUAUAAAUACAAUUAAAAAUUACACUAAUGAACAAAAAAAAAAAAAACUAAGCCAGCUUGUUCAGAACCAGGUUGGCCGCCGGUGGCCGGCCGGAGCAAGCUUGCUCCGGCCAAGCCCGAAAUAGGGCUUAGUUGAGUAGGUUACUGUUCCGAGCAACCCGAGCCUCCCCGAUCUCUGCGGAAGGGAGCACGGUGAUCGUAGCAAAUUGCUGAUCAUCGUGCUCACCUUAGAUUCUACCGGGGAGACUGCGUUCCACUGUUUCGGCGGUGUCGACCCUGUUGAGCUUUUUCGGCUGCUAUUCCGUGCUUGCGCACGUUUCUCCGGCGAUCCGAGGCUGUUAUGAUGCCUCCGAAGGUGAGCACGGUGAUCGUUGGUCAGUUCUGAUCACAGUGCUCACCUUACUUUGGAUCAGCGGAUGUCGUAUCGGCCUGUUCGGCGUGAUUUUCCCCUAUUGCGCGCUGUUCGCUGAACCUUCGGGUUGCUCCCGCGCUUUCCACAGUGAGCAAUUGUGCUCUAGAUCAUGAGCACGGCCUCCGGUACAUCGAGACCUGUCAGUACGUGUCUCAGCGGACCUUGGAAGUCCUCAGUUUGCGUGAACGAGCCAUGUUAUUGCCCGAUUUACAUAAAAUAUUGGGAUUUUAUGUAAAGUGAGGGGCUUUUGUGCAAUUGUGCAUUAUGUGGCUUCUGUGGGCAGUGUAUAGGCGUGUGUGGUGACCUCUGGACUGAUUGUCCAUGAUCUGUUAGCUUUUGCGGAAAUCGAAGAGUCGAUUUCGAUGCGUUUUUCGGCGAAAUUCGCCGAAAGAACGCGAUUUCGGCUUGGAUUUCUUCCGACGUCGUUUGGUUGCUCUGUGAGUAGUCACUAAGCCUUGUUGGCUGGUCACCAUCAUCACAUUGUGGGUUUGGUGAUGACGGGUGAGCGACGGUGGGUUCCGGUGUCGAAAUAGACACUUUCGGGAACUCAGAUUCGUACAAUUAUCCGACGAUAAUUGUGUAGUGGUGUUAUCUUGUGUUUGCUGCCAAAACAUCCAAAUUGGAAUGUUUUGGGGCAGCAGGUGACUCGUAGUAUGAGUUGGUGCGUUCCGGGACAGUCGUGGGUCCCGACGGAGUCUCGGUGCGAUUUCGGGACUUCCGGCGAGUUACGGUAAUCGGUUUUGGGAAAUCGAUAUCCGUGGGUUUUAGUUUGUGGGGUUGUAGAUUCAGCGUUUAUUGUUUGUAGGUUGGACACUAACCCAGUGGACCCUCCUUAGGUCCGGUUGACGUUCUUUUGCAGUCAGGAGACAGGUGCGACACACGUACAGGUGGGUACUUCGAUCCGACGUCGGUACAGUGGUGCACGCUCGGUGAUGGUUUCUUACCUUUGUUCUCUCGUUAUUAUCUGGCAUAUAUAUAUUUUGAUAUAUAGUGUUGAGCCUAGCACCCACGUUGUUUGGUUAUACUCUACUCAGAUGUUUCCAUGCUUAGUAUCAUGUGUAGGAGUAUAGUCUAUCUGUAUGUGAUACCAUGUUUUCUUGUUGCUCUACUUAGCUAUCCUGCAUAUCCUGUUUCAUGUUUAGAGUAGAGCGGUUUCGUGAUUUCCUGUGAGAUCGGUGACCUAGUCGGUCGGUUCCUUGACUUCUGUCGUUUGAUGACCUUUGAGGUCGGUGUACCCUGAGGGGUCGGAUUGUCGGCUAGUGGCCGACGGUGGUUCUAGAUUAUAUACUCAGAUGACUUGUUGAUCGAUUUUUGCAUAUAUACAGUAGUUGACUUAUUGAUCAGUAUCUACAUACUUUUGGUAGGAUGUUGAGUUGUUCCAUCCUAGUUGACUUGAUUAGUCAGUACUUACAUACAGUUGAGAGGAUGUCGAUGUUGUCCCAUCCUAGUUGACCUGAGUGGUCGGUUCUUGUGCUUCCUUACAGUUGAUGGCCUAUACGGUCGGUGUGCCCUGAGGGGCUGGAUUGUCGGCUAGUUGCCGAUGGAAGAUCUUUGAGCAUACUACAUUGAUCGCCACUGCAGGUACGCAUUUCACGAACACCAGCGGUCUGAUCCACCGCAAGAGGGUGUUCUUUUCCGGAAAAGUGGUUGGAUUGCCAACCCGUGAGCCCAGGGGCUUUAUUGCGAGGGUAUAUGCUUCUAACCCAGGGGCUUCAUUGCGAGGGUCAAGUACUAUGCUUCUGACCCAGGGGCUUCAUUGCGAGGGUCAGGUAUAGGUUGAGCAGUGUGGCGUGGGCCUGAGGUCUUCGGACCAAUAGGGCAGCGAGAUUGGGUACUUUUGAGAUUAUCGUCAGUUGACGCAUAUGUUUAUAGUAGCAGUCGUUGCAUGCAUAUUUACAGUUCUUACUUUAUAGUUGUCUUGCUACUAUAGNUUGUUGCUUUUAAAAAUAUCAUUGUCAAACUCUCUCUCUCUCUCUCUCUCUCUCUCUAUAUAUAUAUAUAUAUAUAUAUAUAUAUAUAUAUAUAAAAGCGUAUAGAAAUUCCGACAAUAACAGACGGGAUCCAAAAAGGAAUAAAAUAAUAUUCCCUACGAAUAGUUAUGAUUAAUUUAUUAAAAAUAUCUCAAAUAAAAAUUAACGGUUAUGAUCAAUCUAUUAAAUAUAAAAUAAUAUUUCCUACGAAUGAUUAUAAUUAAUUUGUUAAAAAUAUGUUAAAUAAAAACGAACGGUUAUGAUCAAUCUAUUAAAUUUCUACUACAUAUAAAAAUCUAUUCCCUAUAAAUGGUUAUGACCAAUUUAUUAAAAAAAUAUCUCAAAUAAGAACAGUGAUAAUCAAUCUAUUAAAAAAUAGCAUUCGCAUCCAUCUAUAAAUUCAAUCCUAUGAAUGAUUAUAAUCAAUUUGUUAAAAAAUAUCUCAAAUUAAAACAAACGGUUAUGAUCAAUUUGUUAAAAAAUAGCAUUUCUAUUAAUCUAUUUUACAUUAAAAUUAAAUUUGAGUUUAAAUUAUAAAUUAAAUUUAAUUUUUAGAUAUCAAAUUUGAAUUAAUAAUUAAUUUUUUUAUUACAGUGGAUCAAAAUUAAAUUUUAAAUUUUAAAUUAAAUGUGAAUUAAAUUUUGAUGCUUUUAGUUUAAAACACAUAUUUAAAUUUGAUUCAUCAAAAAUCAAAAAGUAUAUAAAAAUGUUUGAUGUAUAUAAAUAAAAGAACACGGUAGGAUAUUAUAAAAAUUUUCUAAUAAAAUAUAACAUAUUUAUUUAUAAAUAUAAUUUUUAUUGUAAAAUUUUGGAUAUAUAUAAUGUACAAAUUUAUACUGAUUUGAAAUAAAUUAUAAUAAUUGUUACGUGCAUUUGCACGUACAUCAACAAGUAAUAUAAAAGCGAUAAAAAAUUCCGACAAUGGCAGACGGAAUCCAAAAAAAUAAAAUAAUAUUCUUACGAAUGGUUAUAAUUAAUUUUUAAAAUAUCUUAAAAUAAAGACGAACGGUUAUGAUCAAUCUAUUAAAAAAUAGCAUUCACUAUCCAUCUAUAAUUCAAUAUUAUGAAAUUAAAUCAAUUUGUUAAAAAUAUUCAAUAAAAAAAACGGUUCAAAUAAAAACAAAAGUUAUGAUCAAUUGCUAAAAUAACAUUCUAUUCAUCUAUUUACAUUAAAAUUAAAUUUAAAUUUAAUUAUAAAUAAAUUUAAUUUUUGAUAUCAAAUUGUAAUUAAUAAUUAAUUUUUUAUUACCGUGUCAAAAUUAAAUUUUAAAUUUAAAUUAAUAUGAAUUAAAUUUUGAUGCUUUUAGUUUAAAAUACAUAUUUAAAUUGUAUUCAUCAAACAUCAAAAAAUAUACAAAAAUAUUCGAUAUAUAAUAAAAGAACACGUUAGAAUAUUAUAAAUAUUUUCUAAUAAAUAUAACAUCAUUAAUUUAUAAAUAUAUUUUUAUUGUAAAAUUUUGGAUAUAUAUAAUGUACAAUAAUUAUUGUUUGAAAUAAUUAUAAUAAUUGUUACGUGCAUUUACUAGUACAUACAACUAUAUAUAUGUAUAUAUAUAAUAUAUAUAUAUAUAUUAGUAUUAUAUAAUAUAUAUAUAUAUAUAUUAUAUAUAUAUAUAUAUAUAUAAUAAUAUAUAUGUGAAUAAUAACUAAGUAUCUUGUUACUUGGUAAUGAUAACUAAUGUAUCUGAUUUUCGAGCCGAGUCCGAGCUUGGUUUGGACAUGUCCAAAUAGGCUCAAAACUUUUUCAUGCCUAAAAGUUUAAACCUGAUCUGAACCCAAAGUUAUAAUUCGAAUAUCCAAAGCCGGACCCAUACCUUUCCUUUUAUGUUCAAAUAAUUCAAAGCGAAAACAAUUUGGAGGAACUCCUCAUUCAAUGUUAUUGGGUCCCGUCUAAAUCUGCCGUUCAAUAUGGUGUUGAAAUCUAGGCCAAAAAACUAUUUGUGUAAAUUGCACAAUUGAUCCUCAAACUUUAAUUUGCUAUAAUUUCUGAAUCAAAUUUUAAAAAUUAUUGCAAUUAAAUCUCACAAUAUAAUUUAGUUGAUUAAAUGUUGACACAUCGUUGAUGUGAAAGAGAUAUAACACUUUAAUUAUUGACGCAUUAUCAAACACAAUAUUAUUGUAUUACUUUUAUAUUAGCAAUAUAUAAAUAUUUAGUCUGCUUAUUGGGUUAUAAAAUUUGAUUGCAAUAAUUAUAAAAAUUCGAGCCAAAAAUUAUAGUAAAUUAAUGUUUAAGGACCAAAAUGUCGCCCGACACAUAGCUUGAAGACCGUACAUGCAAUUUACCUAAACAGGGCCGUUUAGUUUAAUGUAAUUAUAAAUUCAGUGAAGUUAAAAAAGAUGCAUCCGGUUGAAAAUAAAGCAAUUAUAAUUACAUACAUCUUUUUGAUUGGAUAUAGCAAAAGGCGCUGUAGUUAUAUAUAUUUUAUUUAGUUGCAAGGGGUUGAAAAAUGUAUUUACGAAUUUUUAUCAUUUUAUAUAUAGAAUGAUGAGAUUACCUCUAUGUAGGGGAAAAAAUAUAUAUAUAUUUAAAAGGUUAUUAGGGAGGUAAGUUUAUUUUUGUUUAAAUUACUCUCUCCAAAUACUGGAGUUGGAACUGCGCCUAUUUUAGACAUAAUUUCAACUGCUCUAGUUGAGCCUUUUCGUACAGUCACAGCUAUAACAGUUGAAUUUAAAUGCAUCAAAAUAACUGAUGGAUUUGGAUCUACACGUAGUUAUAACUGUAAUGCAAUUGUAAUUAUAUACAAUCCAACAACCCUUAAGAUUAGACAACAUAUAAAUUAUACUAGUGUAGUAACCAGCGCGAUGCCGCGGAUAAAUAAUAGAAGAAAAUUUAAAAAAUAUUAAAGAGUAAGAAGAAAGAAGUUUGGAAAAUAAAAAUUCAAAUGUGUUUUAUUUUUUGGGUAGGGAAACGUAUGAAUUAAACUAAUCAAUAUGGUCAUUGAAAAUCGAUAACCGCCCAGAAUCAACAUUCAAAAAAAAAAAAUCUACAAAGGUCCAAUGAAGAUGGAGAUAAUAAUGUUGCGAUGAUGACGACGAUGGCGAUGAAAAUCUGAUGAAAAUUUGCAGAAUUUUGCACUCUUUUGGGCAUUGAAUGAUCAAAAUUUGCAGGCCAAAACUGCCACAUCAAUUAUGAAAUAAAAAAUAACCUCUAAAUUAAUCAAAAUAAUACAUAUAAAUCAAAUCCUUGAUUGAUACAAUCACCAUAUCAAAUAUAAUGCAAAUAAAUUAAAUUCUAAAUGAAUACGUAGUAAGAAUUCGAGAUUAAAAUAAAGAAAAGAAAAAUUAGGUUUAGGAUUUUAGUUUUCCAAACCUACCCCUCGAACCGUCCAUUAUUGCUCUCCAAUUAGCUUCCUCUAUUGAAAAAAUCAUUCGAUUACCUUCUUUUUUCAUAAAUCUGAAGAGAUCGAUAUUGAUAGAAACCCUAUAAACACUCUUUUGAUUCGGAGGGGAGGUUUGGGUCGAGUCGGAUUGGCACGAAUUAGGGCUUGGAAGACCCCCUUACUUUUCCCCAAUCUUUAGAUCUGAAAGUAGUAACUAUUUAUCUUCUCUUUUUUUAAUUUUGUAUGUUAGGAAUUGUUUGUGGGAAAAGAAAGGACUAAUUUUGAAGAGAAAACGUAUAAAUUAAAAAGCACAUUGAUUACAUGUCAUUGAAUAGAGAGGAGGGGAGUGGAAAAGGCAAGAGUAAAAAUCAAUUCAAAAAAAAAGUUAGUGAGGGUGGAGAAAAACUUGCCACGUGGCAAAAUUAUUAGAAAUUCAUAUAGAGUAAUAUAUGACUGACCAAAUUAUCUAAAUGAAGAAAAAGCUCAUUUGUGAGUUCUUUGCUCUUCCAAAAUAAUAAUAAUAAUAAUAACUUUAAGAUAUUAUUUGGCAAAAUAAUUCUCUUAAAGAUUUAUUUAGUUACACAAUUAUUUAUUUAAAAAGUUGUAUUGUAAAAUCAAUACUUUAAAAGAUUGGAUAAUCGAUUCAAAAUGGUCUGUAUUUCACACAAGUUUGAUAUGCUUUUAUUGAUAAAAUAAAAAUAAAAACAUAUGAAACCUAUAUAAACUAUGGACCAUUUUAAAUUGACUACCCAACAUUUCAAAAUUUUAAUUUUACUACUCAACCUUUUAAUUUUGUAAAAUGUGCAUGCCGUUUCUUGCAACUACAAAUUCAUUAAGGGAAUUAACUUAAAUUUUGACACAAAUCAAACAAAUUAAAAAGUUAAAUAGUGAAAUAAAAAAAAAACCGGAAGGUUCUAUAAGUUUCCGAUAAGUUUUGCAAGUUUUUUUAGCAGUAAAAUAAAAAAUAUAUAUAUAUAGAACUAAACUGCUUGGCACCAAUUUAGAUUUUCGACCCUUAGACAAAGGAAUGUGCCGUUAGGAUGAUAGUGAUUCCUUGGGGUUGAGCGGGUGGUCGUUGGUUGAAUAGUAUAAUCUAACGGAUAGAAAUGAUCAGCGGGUAGAUUUAGGGGUGUAAACGAGCCGAACAUGAGCGAGCUAGGGCCGGCUCGUGUUUGGCUCGUUUAAUAAACGAGCCGAACAUGAGCUAGCUCGUUAAAGUAUCGAGCCGAAAAAUUCGGCUCGUGUUCGGCUCGCUUAUUAACGAGCCGAACACGAGCUGGCUAACGAACAAUAAAUUAAAAAAAUUAGAUUGAAUAUAUAUAAAAAAUAAAUUUAUAAAAUCUCAUCCAUUAGAUUUUGAUCUAAUAGUUGAAACUUUACAUAUAAAUGAGUAUUUUUAUAAUUGAGUUCACCUUUAUAUUUUAUUUUGUUAAAAAUUAAAUAAUAAAAAUAUAUAUUAUAUAUAUAGUUAUUUAUUUAUAUAUAUAAAUAUAAAUUAUAUAAAUUAUAUAAAUAUAAAAUAUAUGUAUUCGAGCUGUUAUCGAGUCGAACACGAGCGAGUUGACCCUAGCUCGUGUUCGGCUCGUUUAUUAAACGAGUCGAAAAAUCAGCUCGUGUUCAGCUCGUUUACUAAACAAGCGAUUUGAUCUUGAGCUCAUCUCGAGCCGAACACGAGCUGGCUCGCGAACAGCGAGCUAAAUUGCCACCCCUAGGUAGAUCUAACGGUAAAAAAUCAAAUAGCAUCAAAUACUUAAUCGCUAUUGAUAGUAUUGUAGCCAUUGAUAGUAUAGUAGGCGGACUGUAUAUAUAUACUUAGCACUAAACAAUGCUUUGUAGUUUCCUCCCCCUUAAAAUAAAAAUAAGAAAGAAGAAUCUAUCCAAUAUCAUUAAAGGGUGAACCCCUAACCCCUUUGCUGCGUUCUCCGUGAUUUCGGGUCUCUCCCUUAACCCCUUUUCUGCGUUCUCCGCGAUUUCGGACCUCCCGCACACAGUGCUCUCUCUGAGAUGUGGGGCCCUACUCUCUCUUACCCUCUCUCAUUUUCUCUCUCUGAGAUGUGGGGCCCUAUUAUUCUUCGCACGCUAUGGUAUCCUACGAUGCCACUCUCCCUUACCCUCUCUCCUUCUCAAUGAACCCUAACCCUCUCUCCCUUUCUUUUCUCGCCGCCUCUGCAGAUUUCCCGGGAUUCCUCUGCCCCUCUCAACAAAUCCUAGGUUCGCCUAGGGUUGGUACUCCGGCGCCGCCUCUACAGAUUUCCCGGGAUUCCUCUCCCUCUCUCAACAAACCCUAGGUUCGCCUAAGGUUGGUACUCCGGCGCAUUUAAUGCCGUCGCGGGAAAGUCCCUUCCCGGCUCCCCGAAACUCCCUUCCUCUCCCCCGUAUCCCGCCGCCGUACGCCUGUAUCUACCAAAGAUCUGGCCAUUUAAUGCCGCCGCUUCGCCGGCUAGGGCUUCCUCCCCUGUCGUACGCCCUGCCUUGCCGGAGAUCGGGGCAUUUAAUGACCCGUUUCUCCGGAGAUGGUACGCCUGUAUCUACCACAAAUCUCUGCAAUUAAUGUUGCCAUGACAGUGCGCCGCUCGGCUCCGGCGUGUUCUCUUACUGUCCUCGCUCUUCCUUGGCUUUGUUCUGGUACUGGUAUGUAUAUAUAUACACCAUUGAGAGGUAAGGUGCCAUGUCCAAUUGCUUCCGAACUUCCAACUCUUACCUGCCAUCUGUAUUACUCUUCUUUUUGUCACUGCUGCCUGUGGAAAGUAGGUCGGGCUCUCUGCAAGAUCCUCUACUUACUUCUUAUAUUAUGAUGCUGCGUACCUAUGUAUAUGUUUGAAAUUCUUUUUGCUCAGAUGCUUCAAUGUCUGGUGGUGGUUUUCCAUAGGGUUCCUGUUGCCCCCGCAAUUCCAGAUCUGAUGCUUUUUUGCCUUGAGAUUCUUUUCACCUGGGUCUUGCUUGGAUUUCGAGUUUUGAAAAAAAAAACCUUCAGUUUCUUUGGUUUUUUUUUUGUUGUCGCCUUCGCGGAUCUGAUGAUUUCUUGCCUUGCGAUUUUUUUCAGUUGGGCUUUUCAGCUCUAAGCUUAUUCUAAUGAUUUUGGCAUUUCAGCUCUAAGCUGCCCGUUUGCUACAAUUCUAUUAUUUUCUCUUCUCUAAGUUACCUGUUGGCUAUUUGUGCUUUAUGUAUUGAAUGCUUCUUUGUAGAACCAGCUUUCCAUAUCAUGUAUUACUUAAAAGAUUUUGCAGAACUAACUUUAUACACCAUGUAUUACUAAAGAGAUUUAAUGUAUGGUCUCUUUUCUGCAUCUAUUGCUUAUUCUAAGUAUUGUUUUCGAGAAGUUGAUGAGGUCAGGAGAUACUUAUAUUGUCGAUAUAAUUACUUCUUUAUCUGUUUUACUAAUAAAGUUUAAUUUACAUAUUUGUUUCUAUCAUUGACAAAGAAUUCAUGCUCGGUCUAUUUUUUAAUUUUUAUUUUUUUUACCAGAUGUGCCUUUUAUCUUCGAUUUUGCUUUUUUUUCUCUUUUUUCGUUUAAAUGUUUCCCUGUUGCUUUCGGUGCUCCUUUAAGCGAGGCAAUGAUGAUAUGCUCUGUUGGAUUUGCCCCCGCAUGUUGCCUUUCCUACUGAAUUUGGCCGCAAUGGCAUGGCAUCAAAUGAACUCAUGGUAUUUGCUGUAGCCAGCCUCUAUUAUUGCGGAUUUCCUAGACACACAAUAUUCAGUUGCCUCUUUACCAAACGGAAAGAAUAAAACUGAUCCAGAUUUAUCUUACCCCUUUGCUUAGCAUGGCAUCGAAUGAUCUUAUGGUAUUUGUUGCAGCCUGCGGCUAUUCUUUCAAAUUUUUAUCUUACCCCUCACUUUAGGGGAAGAAUGAAGCUGAGCCUCGCAUUGAUUUUUUGCUCUUUGUUUGUUCCGAAUAUUAUUUUCUGGAAUUAUCGUGCCCUUUUAACUGAGCAUUGCAUGAAUUUGUUGUAUUCUUAUUCCGUUGUUUUUCUUCCUUCGCUUUGUUUUUUGCUUUCUUGGGUUUUUCCGAUUUUCGCUUUGGUUUUCUUGCUUUGAUACCUGAAUCAACAAUCCAAAUGAAAUACACAUAUAUUUUUUCCUCUUCUUUCAUUUCAGGAAUAAUUCUGUCUACUUUUUAUACUCUCGGUUAUUUACUUUCUCAUCUUUUUUUUUCGCAGAUUUAAUUUUGCCAUACUCGCUCGGAACUCUGCUGUUCACCUCCAGAUUCAGCAGGGCAGGCAAAUUGAGUAGGGAACUCAUGUGAAUCGUUUCAAUUCUGAUAUUAAUUCUCCUCUUUUCUGCAGAUUUUUUUCCGGCAUCGUCAGACUUGCUGCUCUACUGAUCAACUAUAGGUACAUAGCAAGCUACUUGCUUUUAUUCUCCUGUGUUUUUAUUCCUGCUUGGACAAUGCAAUUUUUAACUCAGUGUUCUUUACUCGCAGAUUAACUGUGUUGGGCUUCUGCUGCUUGGAAUAAGAUUAUAUUCUACCGUUCACCUCCAGUUGCUGGAUACUUUGCUGUUCACCUCCAAUUGCAAGACAAGUUGGGUAGUCCUUUUACUCUUACCUCGAUGCAAUAAUAUUUAUCAGGUUUCUUAAAGAUAAAUUAGAAGUAACUUCUAAUGUGGAACAGCCAAGAAGAAAGCGCCUUAGGUAAUUCUGCUAUACUUAUGAUAUAUAGUGCACAAGUCCAUAACUAAUAUUUUUUCAUACAUUAAACUUACAGGUUUGCAGAAGAUGGUGGCCAGGGCAGUAGCAACAUUGAAUAAAACUUUUGGACCUUCUAUAUUAUGCACUUUACUAUGCACUUUGUUAAUCCAGUGCAAAUAAUACAUAGGCAGUUGUUUUGUUAUAUUUUCAGACUUGAAUGAUCUUUAAUUUAUAUAUUUAUGAACACACACACCACACACACACACAACAACACACAAUAUUAUAUAUAUAUUAUAUAUAUAUAUAUAUAUUACUUAUAGUCAUAUACUAUAUAUAGUUGUUUAUCAUUUACUACCUGUGUUUUUAGUUGCCAAAUUCUGUUGCCGGGCACGAAGCGGCGGUACUUAAUAUAGUAUAUCUGAGUAAGGUUACUUGCUAUCGGAAUGCACGGAGCUUUCGUAAGCUUCCAGCUCCGUUUUCGAUGCUGGCAACUUUGAAUCGAUCGAUCGACUCCUAUUAAACUUGAUUCUUAAGAGUAUUUGAAGUACCUAGAAAAAUAUAAUUAUUGGAUUUUCGUAUUAUUUUAUUAGUAAACGAAGAGGAUCAAAAUCAACGGCCUGAAAAUAAAAUAUUUAUAUUCGUGAUAAUAUGACAUUAAAAUUUUAGAUCAAAGAUAUUGUCUUGUUUUAAUAGUAUAAAGAAUUUUCUAUCAAUAAUUUCCGUGAUUUGGAUAUUUCUCACCGUCAACUUGGCAAACGACGUCCUACGAUCAUUAAAUAAUUAUUGAUUUUGAGCACCCUCUCGAUAACUAGGAAAUGAUAUCGAAAAAUCAUAAAAUUUUAUUUUCUAGGUACUUCAAAUAUCAUCUAGAUAAGUUUAACGAGCGAUCGACGAUUCGAAGUGUCGACAUUCGAAACGAGCUGAAAGCACGAUAGGCUCUGUGCUCUCCAAUAGUAUAGUAGCCUUACUAUAUUAUUAUAUAUAUGUUAGGUACUAUAUAUCGGUAGCACGAGAGCGUCCGUGCUUACAAGUUAUUUUUGAUGAUGCGGCCCCAAUCGAACAAUCGGCCUCCUGUUAGACUUGAUCUCACUAUUGCAAGUAUAUUAGAAACUAAAUUUCAUAAUUUUUCAAUAUCAUUUACCUAGUCAAACAUAAUCUAAAAUUGAACGGUGAAAAUAACAUGCUCAUGAAAAUAUGAUAAAAGAUUUAAUUUAAGAUCAGAUUACUGAUCUUACUCUUCAAAUGAAAAGAUUUUUUUAUAAGAAUUAUUUCAUCGCAUUUGGAUUGUAUUUACAUCAUUAAAUCACAAAACAUCACCAAAUGGCAUUAAAAUUGUCAAUUUUGUAUCUUUGGAUCACUGUAAAUGAUGUAGAAAAAAUCUAAAUUUGGUUUCAAAUACUUUAAUAGUGGUAGAUCAAGUCUAACGGACAGCGUUGUCUAUUUGAAGCCGCAUCUAUCGAAAACAACUUAGGUAGCCGGGCGUCGUUUGGCUACGAUAGCCAUAGUUAGCCGGAUAUUAUAUAUUAUAUUUAAUUACUAUAUAUUAUCUAUAUGAUACUAUAGGUCAGCGUACUUACUAUUAUGAGUACGAUCGCCCUCGUACUCAUAAGUUGUUUUCGAUGAUAGAGCUUCCGAAUCGACGAUCCACACCGUUAAACGUUAUUUACAGCAUUUAAAACUCCUAGAAAUUAAAUUUUAUAAUUUUUCGACAUCAUUUACCUUACGAUCAGGAGGUCACAAAUUUGACAAGUUUUAACGGCCGGUAUGGGAUACUUGCUAGUUUAACGGUGUAAAGAAUCGGAAUUUGUUGAAUUUUUUGAAUUUGUUGCUUUUGUGUUUUUAGCUCUUGGAUGGAGAGAUGUAGGGUUGAGAUGGUAGUGGUAGGUGGUGGUAGGUGGAAUAGUGUUUGAUCCAAGGGGUAUUAGUAAUUGGGGAGUAGAUCCAAGGACUAGAAACUUAGAAGCACCAAUGUGUUGGUGCUUCUAAAAGUAUUCUAACUCCACUCAUAUAUAUAUAUACAUAUAGGCCAUGGCUACUAUACUAUUAUGAGUAUUGGAGCCCUUGUACUCAUAAGUUGUUUUCAAUGAUGGAGCUUCCGAAUCGAUGAUCCACUCCGUUAAAUAUAAUCUAGAGUAUUUGAAAUUUCUAGAAAAUAAAUUUCGUAAAUUUUCGAAAUCAUAAUAAAGUCCAUCAAGCGGGCAUAAAAUGAACGGUCAAAAUCGAACGACGUCCUAAAAAAGGAUGAUCGGAUCCUUCAAUUCAAGAUCGGAGUUAUUGAUCUUUAUCUAUAUAGUGAAUAGAAUUUUCUAUCAAAAGUUCAACAAAUUCUGAUUUGUUUAUACCGUUAAACUAGCAAGUAUCCCAUACCGGCCGUUAAAAAUUGUCAAAUUUGUGACCUCUUGAUCGUAAGGUAAAUGAUGUCGAAAAAUUAUAAAAUUUAAUUUCUAGAAGUUUUAAAUGCUGUAAAUAAUGUUUAACGGAGUGGAUCGUCGAUUCGGAAGCUCUAUCAUCGAAAACAACUUAUGAGUACGAGGGCGAUCGUACUCAUAAUAGUAUAGUAGCCGGACCCUAUAUAUAUAUAUAUAAUAU
rnacentral:lncRNA from 1 species